UAGGGAAUCUUCCACAAAUGGGACGCAAGUCUGAUGGAGCAACGCCGCGUGAGUGAAGAAGGUCUUCGGAUCGUAAAACUCUGUUGUUAGAGAAGAACACGAGUGAGAGUAACUGUUCAUUCGAUGACGGUAUCUAACCAGCAAGUCACGGCUAACUACGUGCCAG
rnacentral:rRNA from 1 species